rnacentral:rRNA from 1 species
CAGCACCUCAAGUGGUCAGGAUGAUUAUUGGGCCUAAAGCAUCCGUAGCCGGCUCUGUAAGUUUUCGGUUAAAUCUGUACGCUCAACGUACAGGCUGCCGGGAAUACUGCAGAGCUAGGGAGUGGGGGAGGUAGACGGUACUCGGUAGGAAGGGGUAAAAUCCUUUGAUCUAUUGAUGACCACCUGUGGCGAAGGCGGUCUACCAGAACACGUCCGACGGUGAGGGAUGAAAGCUGGGGGAGCAAACCGGAUUAGAUACCCGAGUAGUCC